CAGCGAAGGUCCCAGCAGAGAGGGUAAAGACUCUAGAACGAGACCUCUCUAACAGUUGAAACACAUUCCUUCGCAAAGUGAUUUGCCGAAUCGUAGGAUGCUCCAAUUGAUUUUUUGGUUUUGGUGCGUCUUGAACCCUCGGCUACAUUUCU